AUGGCUACCCGAGAUCCCCAGUAUCCGGCUCCUAAGGAGAGCGACAGCAAGGGUCCGUACAGUGUGCGGUCGGACGCGCUGAAGGAUCUUCUGGGGCAAGCGGCCGUCUCGGAAGCGCAUCGUACGCUAAUGGGUACGGUAAUUGAAAGGAUUUCAUCCGCUGAAAGCAGUUUGCAUGAAGCCUUUAUGAGUCUACUGAAAGGCUUCAAGGUCGCUGAAGCUCCGGUGGCUAGCCGGAGUGAUGGGUUUGCCGAGCUAAAUCGGCAACUAGAUGCGGCAGAUGCCAACAUCGUGCUUGUCAACAAGCGUCUUGAUGAGGCACAGGAUGGAGCUGCCACCGUGGAGACCCUUCGGGCAGAGCUUGCCCGAGCCAAGGAGCAAGCAAGGAGGAGCAAUGUGGCCGCUCUAAAGGCGGCCGAAGAGUUAAGGCCGAACAAGCCGUGCAUUGCGAGAGUAAGGAAAAAAUAG
rnacentral:rRNA from 1 species